rnacentral:tRNA from 1 species
GGCCCUGUAGCUCAGUUGGUAGAGCCCGUUAAUUAACGCGUGGGUUCGAGUCCCACUGGGGCCU